GUGCUCACUUCCACAGCACAUAUACUACAACUGAACAAUACCGGGGAGACUAGCGUGGCCCUGUGUGAGGAUGACUCAAAUUUGUGAAGUACUACAUCUGCUC
rnacentral:snRNA from 1 species